rnacentral:misc_RNA from 1 species
GUGAACGCCCCUCGGGCGUUAUCCAACCAACCUCUGUGAACUGUGGCCCUCGGGCCUUUUACAAACAUCGAACGUCAUGAACGUAGUAAUCUAUAACAAAACA